rnacentral:rRNA from 1 species
AUGGGACGGCGGCGAGCGAAGGUGGCCGGAGGUGGGGGUGCAGGCAAGCUGAGCGGCGUGGUGGGUGUGGGUGUAGGUCGCGGCGGCGACGACUGCCAGGAGGUUGCCGAAGGCGCCGAGCAUCUCCUGGUGGGGGAAGAAGAAUUGGCUCGGGAGGUCAACCCCGUCAUCCAUUUUGUGACAGAAUUGUAUGCCAAGAACAACCACUUUGUGUGCAGUCAAUGGGCAAGUUGUGCAACAGUCGCUCGGCCAGGAAAAGAAAUUGGAAUCAAGAACAGAGUAUGUCGGAUGACAGCAGCAGCAGUCUACCGCCGCGACCUGCACCCACACGCACAACUACAACCCCCCAUCCAUGGCGGCUUCUUGCAGAGAACAAGAGAGAAGAAAGGAGAAGAAGUGGAGGCAGGGGACGACAGCGUGAGGGGCCUGCAGGUUGCGGGCGUCAGCUUGCCAGAGGCGCCGGGUAGAGGAGGCCUCAAGUCGGCGGCGGUUUGCAGGAUCAGAGAAAGGAGGGAGGCCACCCGCUGGGUUGGAUUGCGUUUUUCUUUUCGAUCCAGGGGUUGUAUGUCAAUGUUUUGCCAAGUCAGCUCCUUACAGUUCGGCUCCACUUGUCAGAAAAUGAUUAAACGGCCUAAAUCCUCCGAUGAGUGUUUUCUGUAA